UACGAAGGGGGGCUAGCGUUGCUCGGAAUCACUGGGCGUAAAGCGCACGUAGGUGGCUUUCUAAGUCAGGGGUGAAAUCCUGGAGCUCAACUCCAGAACUGCCUUUGAUACUGGAAGCUUGAGUUCGGGAGAGGUGAGUGGAACUGCGAGUGUAGAGGUGAAAUUCGUAGAUAUUCGCAAGAACACCAGUGGCGAAGGCGGCUCACUGGCCCGAUACUGACGCUGAGGUGCGAAAGCGUGGGGAGCAAACAGG
rnacentral:rRNA from 1 species